rnacentral:rRNA from 1 species
CACGCACACACGCGCGGCAUAUCAAUAAGCGGAGGAAAAGAAACUAACAAGGAUUCCCUUAGUAACGGCGAGUGAAGCGGGAAGAGCUCAAAUUUGAAAUCUUCAAGGUUCUACCUUGACGAAUUGUAGUUUAUAGAAGUGUUUUCUGUUAGUAGAGUGGUAAAAGUUCUUUGGAAUAGGACAUCAUAGAGGGUGAGAAUCCCGUAUUUGGUACCAUUCUUUCUAACGUUGUGAUACACUUUCAACGAGUCGGAUUGUUUGGGAAUGCAGUCCAAAAUGGGUGGUAAAUUUCAUCUAAAGCUAAAUAUUGGCGAGAGACCGAUAACGAACAAGUACCGUGAGGGAAAGAUGAAAAGAACUUUGAAAAGAGAGUUAAACAGUACGUGAAAUUGUCAGAAGGGAAGCGUUUGACACCAGUGUUGUUUUUCCGAAAAUCAAUUACGAAUGUUUUGUUUUUAAGAAGUUAUGACUUCAUCGGCUUGCUCCUUUCUUUAUGAAACUUUCUUAAUGCACUUUUCGGUUAACAAGUCAACAUCAGUUUCUUUUGUUGUAAAAGGGUAUGAGGAAGGUGGCUUUCUUUUCGGAGAAAGUGUUUAUAGCCUUGUGCCUCUGCAAUCGGAGAGAUUGAGGUCUGCAGCGUAGAUCCUUCGGGGUUAGAUACAUUUGUGCUAAGUUAUAGCUUUUCAUAGACAACUUGUUGACUAUGUUAAGUCUUGUAGCUUACUCGCUUAUGCUAUUUUACCUACGCUUAGGAUGUUGAUAGUCACAGCGUGUA